AGGGAGAUGCUGGGAUAUAUGAAUGUCACGCAAACAACAAGUACUCCAUCGAUAUGAGAUCUUUCCGAACUGAUUAUAAUAUCUUCGUUUCUUCGUCAGCUUUAUCAUCAGGAUACUAAGCUCAAAAUAUUCAUGGACAAUAUGUACUCUAUGAGCUCUACAAUCUGUAUUUUUUGAACUCAAAACUUCAUCCUCUAUGAACUUAACACAAUCCGGCCUCUAUAAACUCUUCAAUAUGUCAUCUAUGAACUCUACAAUAUGUUCUCUAUAGCUGUACAUUCUGUCCUCUAUGGACUCAGCAAUCUUUCCACUAUGGGCUAUAGAACCUAUGACCUAUCCUAAAAAAUUUCUAUAACCUAUCCUUUAUGAACUCUACAAAAUAUAACAUGUUUUAUUUGGAGGCACAACCAACCUUCUAUGGAGAAGCCGAAACUCUAUAAAAACCUUAAUUUAUUUAGAUUCAGUUAUAUUUUUCUGUAUACUUGAUAUUACAAUCUAUUCCCCAUGGACUUAUCCAUCUAUCCGUAUAUGAAUAUCUGUCCUCGGCUCUAGCCUAAAUUCCAUAGACUCUACCUCAAAAUAUAUCCCCUACAUAGUACACAAAAAUUCAUUUAAUUUUGGUUUAAAAUUUUACAACUUUGCAAGUUUUCAAACCUUUUUCUGUAGAGCGAUAAGAAAAGAAAGUUUUGGAAAAAAGUUGCGAAAGAACUAGUAACUAAAUAUACAUAUUUUUGAGACUAGAGUGCCCAUGAACUUCAUAAUAUAUCCUUAUAUUGACGGUAAAAUCUGUCAUCUAUUUCCAUAAUUUCUUUGUAGAUGUGUUCGGUAUUAUCAAUACAUACAUUUACUAUGUAAACUUUUAUUCCUUAUAUUAAGAUAAAUAAAUUAAUAUUUUCAA